AACUGAUAUAAGCUACAGGACCAGCAAUGCUGCUAUUGGUGUUUUUGUAUUGUUGAUUCUUUCCUCUUUAGAAAUAACUGCAUAUCAUCCAAACCAUCUCCAAAUGAAUGGCUGCAAGGAUCCAGGAUCAAGAGAUAAUCCAUCAUGAAAACUGUUUCAUAGGAAUCAGCGAAUCCUGGGUGACAAACUAAACCUCAUUGUUACAGUGACACUCAGGCACAACUAUAGAUUUAAAUUGAUUUUAGUGGCUUAUAUGUUUAUAUUUCAGGCCUGCCUGACCAUUCUGUUGCCCUGCUUGUGAAGACACACUGGAACUGCAUUUCUCAUGGUUGAAAGAAGUGCGCAUCGAUAUCCAGACAUACAAGAAGCCUUCCUGGACCCACACGACAAAAUGCUCAGGAGGAGAGGCAGGAUUUUUUUGAGACUAUGGAGGAUAGCUGGACCUUGGUCUGCCUGGGGGAUCUGGGGCCAUGGUCUUGUAUUCAAAGGAAAGGUGAAAAAUGAGGAAGUCUGGGAACCACUGAAGAAGGCAGCCGU